UUUAUGGAGAGUUUGAUCCUGGCUCAGGAUGAACGCUGGCGGCGUGCCUAAUACAUGCAAGUCGAGCGAACAGACAAGGAGCUUGCUCCUUUGACGUUAGCGGCGGACGGGUGAGUAACACGUGGGUAACCUACCUAUAAGACUGGGAUAACUUCGGGAAACCGGAGCUAAUACCGGAUAAUAUUUCGAACCGCAUGGUUCGAUAGUGAAAGAUGGUUUUGCUAUCACUUAUAGAUGGACCCGCGCCGUAUUAGCUAGUUGGUAAGGUAACGGCUUACCAAGGCGACGAUACGUAGCCGACCUGAGAGGGUGAUCGGCCACACUGGAACUGAGACACGGUCCAGACUCCUACGGGAGGCAGCAGUAGGGAAUCUUCCGCAAUGGGCGAAAGCCUGACGGAGCAACGCCGCGUGAGUGAUGAAGGUCUUCGGAUCGUAAAACUCUGUUAUUAGGGAAGAACAUACGUGUAAGUAACUAUGCACGUCUUGACGGUACCUAAUCAGAAAGCCACGGCUAACUACGUGCCAGCAGCCGCGGUAAUACGUAGGUGGCAAGCGUUAUCCGGAAUUAUUGGGCGUAAAGCGCGCGUAGGCGGUUUUUUAAGUCUGAUGUGAAAGCCCACGGCUCAACCGUGGAGGGUCAUUGGAAACUGUAAAACUUGAGUGCAGAAGAGGAAAGUGGAAUUCCAUGUGUAGCGGUGAAAUGCGCAGAGAUAUGGAGGAACACCAGUGGCGAAGGCGACUUUCUGGUCUGUAACUGACGCUGAUGUGCGAAAGCGUGGGGAUCAAACAGGAUUAGAUACCCUGGUAGUCCACGCCGUAAACGAUGAGUGCUAAGUGUUAGGGGGUUUCCGCCCCUUAGUGCUGCAGCUAACGCAUUAAGCACUCCGCCUGGGGAGUACGACCGCAAGGUUGAAACUCAAAGGAAUUGACGGGGACCCGCACAAGCGGUGGAGCAUGUGGUUUAAUUCGAAGCAACGCGAAGAACCUUACCAAAUCUUGACAUCCUUUGACAACUCUAGAGAUAGAGCCUUCCCCUUCGGGGGACAAAGUGACAGGUGGUGCAUGGUUGUCGUCAGCUCGUGUCGUGAGAUGUUGGGUUAAGUCCCGCAACGAGCGCAACCCUUAAGCUUAGUUGCCAUCAUUAAGUUGGGCACUCUAAGUUGACUGCCGGUGACAAACCGGAGGAAGGUGGGGAUGACGUCAAAUCAUCAUGCCCCUUAUGAUUUGGGCUACACGUGCUACAAUGGACAAUACAAAGGGCAGCGAAACCGCGAGGUCAAGCAAAUCCCAUAAAGUUGUUCUCAGUUCGGAUUGUAGUCUGCAACUCGACUACAUGAAGCUGGAAUCGCUAGUAAUCGUAGAUCAGCAUGCUACGGUGAAUACGUUCCCGGGUCUUGUACACACCGCCCGUCACACCACGAGAGUUUGUAACACCCGAAGCCGGUGGAGUAACCAUUUGGAGCUAGCCGUCGAAGGUGGGACAAAUGAUUGGGGUGAAGUCGUAACAAGGUAGCCGUAUCGGAAGGUGCGGCUGGAUCACCUCCUUUCU
rnacentral:rRNA from 1 species